AACAGCAGUGGGUCAGUUAACAUUUAUUCACUGAAUAUGAUUGGAAAUCUGAGUCAGGAAGACUGCACCACUGWGUUUCCUGAUUUAAAUACGACUUACACUGACAACUACUACCUCCGCAUUGAGAACGGGSUAUUCAAGGCAUUAGAUGUUUGUCAUCCUAUUAAUAUAACAGUAAAAGAUUCUCCUUGGAGUCCCAGCAUUAAUGUUCCCUCUGACCUGAAGGAGCAUCAGUCUGUCACUGUAACCUGCUCAGCUUUCACUCCCUGUCCAAACUCACCUCCUGAACUCACCUGGAAUCUCCAACAAGACUCU